rnacentral:rRNA from 1 species
AGUGAACGCUGGCGGUAGGCCUAACACAUGCAAGUCGAACGGCAGCACAGUAAGAGCUUGCUCUUACGGGUGGCGAGUGGCGGACGGGUGAGGAAUACAUCGGAAUCUACUUUUUCGUGGGGGAUAACGUAGGGAAACUUACGCUAAUACCGCAUACGACCUACGGGUGAAAGCAGGGGAUCUUCGGACCUUGCGCGAUUGAAUGAGCCGAUGUCGGAUUAGCUAGUUGGCGGGGUAAAGGCCCACCAAGGCGACGAUCCGUAGCUGGUCUGAGAGGAUGAUCGGCCACACUGGAACGAGGACACGGUCCAAACUCCUACGGGAGGCAGCAGUGGGGAAUAUGGGACAAUGGGCGCAAGCCGGAUCCAGCCAUACCGCGUGGGUGAAGAAGGCCUUCGGGUUGUAAAGCCCUUUUGUUGGGAAAGAAAAGCAGCAGGUUAAUACCCCGCUGUUCUGACGGUACCCAAAGAAUAAGCACCGGCUAACUUCGU